GCAGUUGGAAAUCGUAGGCCUCCUCGUUCACACCAGCCCGGUUGAUAAAUCAACCCGGGUGGGGCUUGUUUUUUAAAACCACGUUUAAUACAUGACAUGAGCCAGCUUAAUCGCGUUUACAUGAGCCAAUUACGUCAGCUUAAGCUAACCCGAACUUCGUUUACCAUAUCAAAUGUUGCAUUUACCAUAUCAAAUAUUGCAUUGCGAGUAUUAGAAUUUCUGGAGACCACAACGCAAGGAAAAGCAUUAUUUUCACGAUAAAUAUCUUUAAUUUAGUCAUUUGAACAUAUUGGGGGAACGUUGAAUUUUGUCGCAAGACAUUUAAAAUGACAUUCGAUUUUCGUUUCAUUUGAAUGUGUCUACAUUUAUGUACCCGCGGGUUGGCAUAAUUUUCACGUCGUUACACCUCGGUGCCAAUCCGGGUCUCGAGAAGGGUGCCCCGAGUUGGAGAAGUGUGAAAGGGUUGACCCGGCUAUCGUGUAAACGCUAAUAUAAAUUUAUUAGUAGACGCGUUGACCAGGAUUGGCAGGCCAACCCGAGUUGAUAGACAACCCGGACUCGUGUAAACGGGGCCUUAUAAUUCGCUAAACUAGUUCGCCCUAACAAAUGCUUUCUUAGUUGAAAAAUUAUAGCAGAGCUGCACAGUUUGUUAUGCAGCCAAUGCUAUAAUUCUCACAUAUUCUCGAACGACAAUUUGGGAAAUAGAGACCGUUCAUUAUUUACAUCUGUUACCAAAGAUUACAGGAACUGAAAACAGCAUAACAGUUUUCCAUCCUUUUUUAACAGUGCUUUAUCAUUUUUACCCAACUAUCCAGUAUAUUACUGCACCAACACUAUCCUGUAAAUAUUCUACAGGGUGUCCCCAAAAAUGUACUAGCUAUGUUCCAGAAUUUUUUACACAGCUAAUUAUUCGAAAAUUUAAAAAAUUGUAGCAAUGAAUAUGAAAUAUACAGUAUAUAUCUAUAUGUUUUGUCAUCUAGUUGAAUCUACAAUCCACCAAUUAUAAAUGAAAAAAUAACACAAAAGUACAGUAGGUCAACUUUUUAUAGUAUAUAGGCAGCUGGCAGCUCAAGCUGCGACUGUAUUCUAGACCUGGAAUAUUCUUGAGGUUUCCCUUAAAAUGUAACAAAUCGAUCUUUGUGCGUCACAAUGGAUGGCUAAUAAUUGAUAUAUAGACAAGGAUUUUCUAGCUCAUUGGCGGAUACUCCGCAAAAUCAUGGGGGCGGAGCACUGAGUUAUAAUAUUAGACAGAUUUAGAUCGAGGACGCGGACGUCAAAGACGACGUGAAAAUGGCGUGGCAUAUCCAUACAUGGGCACAACACGCCAUUUUCACGUCGUCUUUGACGUCCGCGUCCUCAAUCUAAAUCUGUCUAUUACUGGAGGAAGUGCUCGGCAUAAAAAGUAUCCGCAAAUACAUGGCGGAUUUUCGCAGUCCAAUUCGCACCAUAUGACGCCACUUCCAUGACAGCUGGUUCCUCAGGCUCAUGGAAUUACCACUGACCAAGCUCAAUUCUGGGUCCGCUACAAUAUAC